rnacentral:tRNA from 1 species
GCCCGGGUGGUGGAAGGGUAGACACAAGGCACUUAAAAUGCCUCGGCCACAAGCCAUGUCGGUUCGAUUCCGACCCCGGGCACCA